CACGUAUUUAGCCGGGGCUUCUUGGUCAGGUACCGUCAUUCUCUUCCCUGCUGACAGAGCUUUACAUACCGGAGUACUCCAUCGCUCACGCGGCGUCGCUGCAUCAGGGUUGCCCCCAUUGUGCAAUACCCCCCACUGCUGCCUCCCGUAGGAGUCUGGGCCGUGUCUCAGUCCCAAUGUGGCCGUCCACCCUCUCAGGCCGGCUACUGAUCGUCGCCUUGGUGGGCCGUUACCCCGCCAACCAGCUAAUCAGACGCGGACCCAUCCCGCACCGCACAAGGCUUUCCGCACCGCCCCAUGUGGGGCUGUGCGCAUAUGCGGUAUUAGCAGCCGUUUCCGGCUGUUGUCCCCCAGUGCGGGGUAGGUUGUCCACGCGUUACUCACCCGUCCGCCACUCAGUCACAGAGGCUUCCUCCCCGGAGGGAUUCCACCUAAGUGCUUCGUUCGACUUGCAUGUGUUAGGCACGCCGCCAGCGUUCAUCCUGAGCCAGGAUCAAACU
rnacentral:rRNA from 1 species